CUUUGAAAUCUCAGGAACUCAAUUUGGAUGAACGUUAAUGAGGCAAUUGCUUUUCAUGAUUAGGAAUAUUGUAAAAGAUUUUGUAAUACCAAUGCACAAUGCAAGAUGGAUGUUGGUAAUUACCAACAGUAUAAAUGGGAGCCAAUUUUUCAUUAGUUAUGCCAAGCAAUCCUAUCUCAUUAUACAACUGAACAAUCAAGCAAAUCGGUUAAAGUGAUGUAUGAAAAUAUUAUGCAAGAGCGAAUUGCAUAUUUUAGAAAGGAACAAGAGCAAUUGAAAAAAUAUAUAUACAAAGGAGUUUCACGAGAUCAAACAAACAAAGAAAGACAUGACAUUUUUCAUGUAUUGGUUUUUAUGUAAUAGGGAGCUGAAAUAAA